ensembl:lncRNA
AUGGGUUCUAAGAGUCUCGAUGCGUGUUUGAUCCCCGUGCCCUCGUCUGUAUGUCACACUAUUACAGACGGCAGCCCCGUCGACGGCGGCCCCGCAGACCCAACCGCAGGGCUACAAAACGCUGCGGAAGUGAGCGCCCGGCCCCCGACCAACGCGCCAUCGGAGUCGAGCUACCCACCAGAACCCAAAAUAUCAUCCCGCAGCAAGAAGGAGGCGACCGGCUCCGGCGCCGGCAAACACCACCAUUCCAACCACCGUUCCCCCAACAAGAAAACCAGCAAGGGAAACCCCAAGGGGAGGAAGUCCACGGAGAAGAACAAGCUGUCGAAGAAGAAGGACGACAAGGGGGGUGAAGGCCACCGCCAACAUUCCAGUGGGAACCACCGCAGCCGCCGCCGCUCACCUAGCAAGGGGCACGGCCGGUCGCGCAGCGCCGAGAACACACUUGACAGCCGCGAUGGCGGACGACGACGACAGGGCCGCUCCCCCGACAGACGCCGCGGUCAGCACUCUUCUCCUCAACGCCGCCGCUCCCCCCGCCGCUACAGGUCGCCCCACCGCUCGCGGCAACACUCCCCCACCAGACGCCAAGCCCGCUCCUCGGACCCCUACCGCCGCUACGCCUCCCCAGAGAGACCGCGCCGCAGCAACGAGAAGCCCACCGGGGGCAGGGCCGCAUUAAUGGAGCCGGCCAGGAGUCCCGAACCGAGCUUCAGUCUGGAGGACAGCGUCCUCCGGGAGCCGCCGCUCGUGGGCCGCCUGAACAGGGAGGCGGCGCUGCGCAGGGACGAGCAACUGUACGGGGAGGACAGUCUGCUGAUGAGAGCGUCCUCCAUGGAGAGAGCCUACAAGGGGGACAGCCUGCUGAGGGACGUGGCCUCCCGUGGCCAGAGAGACGCCUUCAGAGACACCCUCCUGCCCAGGGUGCGCACCCCCGACUCUGAUUCAGCCUUCCAGAAGUACAGCUCGCUGCUGAGGGGGCGCUCGCCCGAGAGGACGGUGAGGGAGGGGCGCUACGCCAGCCGAGACGCCUCUCCCGCGCCGUUGUACCGAGCCCGCAGCCUGGGACGAGACAUCUCCCCGAUCAGGGGCUCUAGACGGGACGACUCGGAGGACGAAGAGGACGACGACGAUUUUGUAGCGGCCAAGGUGAGGGAGUACUACAGCACGGUGAAGACCAACAGCAGCCGUUCAUCCGCCCUGCCUGAGCCCAAGAAGACCUACAAGGACAACCCCAAAGACCUGAGUAUCUGA